AGCAGUCGCGGUAAUUCCAGCUCCAAUAGCGUAUAUUAAAGUUGUUGCAGUUAAAAAGCUCGUAGUUGAAUUUCGGGGUUAGUAGGUUGGUCAUGCCUCUGGUAUGUACUGGUCUCACUGAUUCCUCCUUCCUGAUGAACCUUAAUGCCAUUAAUUUGGUGUUUUGGGGAAUUUGGACUGUUACUUUGAAAAAAUUAGAGUGUUUAAAGCAAGCUAACGCUUGAAUACAUUAGCAUGGAAUAAUGAAAUAGGACGUUCGAUCCUAUUUUGUUGGUUUCUAGGAUUGACGUAAUGAUUAAUAGGGAUAGUUGGGGGCAUUAGUAUUCAAUUGUCAGAGGUGAAAUUCUUGGAUUUAUUGAAGACUAACUACUGCGAAAGCAUUUGCCAAGGAUGUUUUCAUUAAUCAAGAACGAAAGUUAGGGGAUCGAAGACGAUCAGAUACCGUCGUAGUCUUAACCAUAAACUAUGCCGACUAGGGAUCGGAUGAUGUUAAUUUUUAAUGACUCACUCGGCGCCUUAC
rnacentral:rRNA from 1 species